AUAGCGGAAGGAGGAGUCGCGACGCGAGCUCCAAAAUCCAGCGGAGAGACGAACCCGGAAGACAGAGCAAGAGAUAGAGCAGCGCUCAUCAGCGCUGAUUAAAGCAAAGACUCUGGCCUUUCGGUCAUGGACUACACAAAACCUCUGAAGGUGUGCUGUGGUAUCUGGCACCAAGACGUUAGCAGCAGACCCUUUAAGUCCGGCAAGUUGUGAGGUGGAGCUUCCAGGGAUCAGACUUGUUUGCCCACCACAUCCCACAGAUGCGCGAUCGGAUUGAGAUCUGGGGAAAUUAGAGGCCAAGUCAACAAACAUCUUGAACUCCUUGUCAUGUUUCUCGAAGCAUUCCUGAACAAUGUUUGCAGUUUGGCAGGGCACAUUAUUAUGCUGAAAGAGGUCACUGCCAUUAGGGAAUACCAUUGCCAUAAAGGGGUGUACUUGGUCUGUAACAAUUUUUAGGGUUUUGAGAUCUCUUCUGAUUAUUACUUGUGGCUGCUUGUUCAACACAUCCAAAAUGUGGGAACCACACAUUUAACAACGCAAAAUAUAUCUCAUUUACAAAAUACUCAUGCAUAUUACUGAUGUAUGAUUAACCAGUCAUUAUUAGCAGAUUAAAACAUGUUUCCCACAUUAAAGUUAAUGAUAUUUCAAUGUAAUGACCAACACAGUGCCUAAUAACCAUGUCCAUAAUGCAUAUUAAUGAGCAAGGAUUUCAACGUUGGUUGUUUUUUUGUUGUUGUUGUUGUUGUUGUUUUAAUAAAAUAGUUUUAUAAAUGUUUCACAAUGUACAUAGUUCAAUAUUUUUAACAUAAAUCCAUGUUAAUAUAAAAUAUUUUAGUCACAAAAUGUUAAUUAGGCACAUGAGGUACUAUAAAAGAUGAACUCAAAUAAAACAAACUCAUCAGUUAUCCAAAGCAAAAUACUAAAUGAAAGGGAACUCUUUUCACAAUUUCUCUGAAAAUAAACAAUUUCA